rnacentral:misc_RNA from 1 species
UCAUAGCCCCGAUAGGAACGGUUACCCCACAGCAAAGGCUGGAGAUUUAGUGGAUUUAGGAGCGGAGUGAGAAGGCGCGAGGAGUAUGAGUGGAUAGCGGGAAAAAGC